rnacentral:lncRNA from 1 species
UUACCAAAUAUAACUUAUAUAUAUAUAAAGUAGCUCUUAAUCAUAAACUCAUCAUAGAUCCAAGACUCGAAUUUUGUAAGCAAGCCGUGUCAUUGUCUACGAAAAACUCAUUAGUGGCGCCCUUUUGAAAAAGUUAAAAGAAGAAAUAGUGUACAAAGUUAAAGAAAAUUAAGGACCCAAAAUUCAAAAAAAAAAAAAAAAAAAAACAAAUACAGCUAAGUCAUGAAAGCCAAUCCAUAAACAUUCGACUGUGUCUUAUUUAUUUUUAUUGCGUGUGUAUGGCGAUCAUAUUUUGAAAUUUAAAACUUGUAAUAAGUCGGUCUACAACGAACCACAUUGAAAGGCAGAUCAAGACCAUUAAAUAAAUUUAAAUGAAUGAGAAACCGGC